rnacentral:rRNA from 1 species
GUGGGUGUACGAAUCUUGAGAGGAGCUGUCCCUAGUACGAGAGGACCGGGAUGGACGCACCACUGGUGUACCGGUUGUCGCGCCAGCUGCACCGCCGGGUAGCCAUGUGCGGAAGGGAUAACCGCUGAAAGCAUCUAAGCGGGAAGCCCCCCUCGAAACCAGGAUUCGCUGAGAACCGUGGAAGACUACCACGUUGAUAGGCCAGGUGUGGAAGCGCAGUAAUGUGUGAAGCUAACUGGUACUAAUAGUUCGAUCGGCUUGAUCGG